ACCCGCAUAGGCUACACACUGUCGUCGUCGACAGAAAGUAAAACAGCCACCACAAACCUCUUCAGUAUCAGGAAGGUAACCUUUCCAGUUCUCUUUUGAACGGAACAUCGCAUUUGAACAAGAACAGAAGAGUAACGAUAAGAUGUCUGCCCCCCUCGGUCCAGACAUGCCUGUGCCAGUACCUAAACCACGGACACGCUACAAGCGGGCUGGAGGGAGCCCACAGAUCCAGCUCUCUUCUGAUCGGGAUUUGAUACAUGAUACACCUGAUACAGGAAGUCAUAGCAAAGGUAUUCCACCCGCAAAUGAUUUGCUGGCAGAAAAGGAAGACAACCAUMRCAUUAUCCUAAAUAAGCCUGCCAUUACCAGCCCAGCGGAGCAGAAUCCAAGCCAGUGUAACUUCCUUCUCUUCAGAUCUGAUUCUGGAGUGACUCCAUCUUGCCCAGUACUGGACAGUAAUGAGCCAGAUGGACUCCUUGACAGAUCUGUCUGGUUGUCCUUCUCUCCACACAGUCCCGGCUGCAGAUACUGACCCCUACGUCAGUCCUGCUGCAGAUACUGACCCCUACGUCAGUCUGGCUGCGGAAACUGACCCUACGUCAGUCUGCUGCGGAUACUGACCCCUACGUCAGUCCGGCUGCGCAUACUAACCCCUACGUCAGUCCUGCUGCGGAUACUGACCCCUACGUCAGUCCGGCUGCGGAUACUGACCCCUACGUCAGUCCGGCUGCGGAUACUGACCCCUACGUCAGUCCGGCUGCGCAUACUGACCCCUACGUCAGUCCGGCUGCGCAUACUGACCCCUACGUCAGUCCUGCUGCGGAUACUGACCCCUAGUCAGUCCUGCUGCGGAUACUGACCCCUACGUCAGUCCGGCUUGCGAAUACCCCCCCCUUACUUCAGUCCGGCUGCGCAUACUGACCCCUACGU